CUACGGGGUGCUCCAGUCACGAAUCUUCCUCAAUGGCCGAAAGGCUGAAGGAGCGACGCCGCGUGCAUGAAGACGCCCCUCGGGGUGUAAAGUGCUUUUAUUAGGGAAGAAACAAUGACGGUACCUAAUGAAUAAGGGGCUGCUAACCUCGUGCCAGCAGCAGCGGUAAUACGAGGGCCCCAAGCGUUAUCCGGAUUUACUGGGCGUAAAGGGUCCGUAGGCGGUUUGUUGCAUCUCCUGUUAAAUCAUCUGGCUCAACCAGGUGGCUGCGGGAGAUAUGGGCAAACUAGAGACCGGAAGAGGCAAGCGGAAUUGCUGGUGUAGGGGUUAAAUCCGUUAAUAUCAGCAGGAACACCAAAUGCGAAAGCAGCUUGCUUGAACGGUUCUGACGCUAAGGGACGAAAGCGUGGGUAGCGAAUGGGAUUAGAUACCCCGGUAGUC
rnacentral:rRNA from 1 species